GCCCAGGUAGCUCAGCUGGUAGAGCACGUGACUGAAAAUCACGGUGUCGGCGGUUCGACUCCGUCCCUGGGCACCA
rnacentral:tRNA from 3 species